GACGAACGCUGGCGGCGUGCUUAACACAUGCAAGUCGAACGGAAAGGCCCUGCUUUUGUGGGGUGCUCGAGUGGCGAACGGGUGAGUAACACGUGAGUAACCUGCCCUUGACUUUGGGAUAACUUCAGGAAACUGGGGCUAAUACCGGAUAGGAGCUCCUGCUGCAUGGUGGGGGUUGGAAAGUUUCGGCGGUUGGGGAUGGACUCGCGGCUUAUCAGCUUGUUGGUGGGGUAGUGGCUUACCAGGGCUUUGACGGGUAGCCGGCCUGAGAGGGUGACCGGCCACAUUGGGACUGAGGUACGGCCCAGACUCCUACGGGAGGCAGCAGUGGGGAAUAUUGCACAAUGGGCGGAAGCCUGAUGCAGCAACGCCGCGUGCGGGAUGACGGCCUUCGGGUUAUAAACCGCUUUCGCCUGUGACGAAGCGUGAGUGACGGUAAUGGGUAAAGAAGCACCGGCUAACUACGUG
rnacentral:rRNA from 1 species